GGGUUGUGAGGUUAAGCGACUAAGCGUACACGGUGGAUGCCCUGGCAGUCAGAGGCGAUGAAGGACGUGCUAAUCUGCGAAAAGCGUCGGUAAGGUGAUAUGAACCGUUAUAGCCGGCGAUGUCCGAAUGGGGAAACCCAGUGCAAUUCGUUGCACUAUCGUUAACUGAAUACAUAGGUUAACGAGGCGAACCGGGGGAACUGAAACAUCUAAGUACCCCGAGGAAAAGAAAUCAACCGAGAUUCCCCCAGUAGCGGCGAGCGAACGGGGAGCAGCCCAGAGUCUGAAUCAGCUUGUGUGUUAGUGGAACGGUCUGGAAAGUCCGACGGUACAGGGUGAUAGUCCCGUACACCAAAAUGCACAGGCUGUGAACUCGAAGAGUAGGGCGGGACACGUGGUAUCCUGUCUGAAUAUGGGGGGACCAUCCUCCAAGGCUAAAUACUCCUGACUGACCGAUAGUGAACCAGUACCGUGAGGGAAAGGCGAAAAGAACCCCGGCGAGGGGAGUGAAACAGAACCUGAAACCGUGUACGUACAAGCAGUGGGAGCACCUUCGGGUGUGACUGCGUACCUUUUGUAUAAUGGGUCAGCGACUUAUAUUCUGUAGCAAGGUUAACCGUAUAGGGGAGCCGCAGGGAAACCGAGUCUUAACUGGGCGUUAAGUUGCAGGGUAUAGACCCGAAACCCGGUGAUCUAGCCAUGGGCAGGUUGAAGGUUGGGUAACACUAACUGGAGGACCGAACCGACUAAUGUUGAAAAAUUAGCGGAUGACUUGUGGCUGGGGGUGAAAGGCCAAUCAAACCGGGAGAUAGCUGGUUCUCCCCGAAAGCUAUUUAGGUAGCGCCUCGUGAACUCAUCUUCGGGGGUAGAGCACUGUUUCGGCUAGGGGGUCAUCCCGACUUACCAACCCGAUGCAAACUACGAAUACCGAAGAAUGUUAUCACGGGAGACACACGGCGGGUGCUAACGUCCGUCGUGAAGAGGGAAACAACCCAGACCGCCAGCUAAGGUCCCAAAGUCAUGGUUAAGUGGGAAACGAUGUGGGAAGGCACAGACAGCCAGGAUGUUGGCUUAGAAGCAGCCAUCAUUUAAAGAAAGCGUAAUAGCUCACUGGUCGAGUCGGCCUGCGCGGAAGAUGUAACGGGGCUAAACCAUGCACCGAAGCUGCGGCAGCGACACUAUGUGUUGUUGGGUAGGGGAGCGUUCUGUAAGCCUGCGAAGGUGUGCUGUGAGGCAUGCUGGAGGUAUCAGAAGUGCGAAUGCUGACAUAAGUAACGAUAAAGCGGGUGAAAAGCCCGCUCGCCGGAAGACCAAGGGUUCCUGUCCAACGUUAAUCGGGGCAGGGUGAGUCGACCCCUAAGGCGAGGCCGAAAGGCGUAGUCGAUGGGAAACAGGUUAAUAUUCCUGUACUUGGUGUUACUGCGAAGGGGGGACGGAGAAGGCUAUGUUAGCCGGGCGACGGUUGUCCCGGUUUAAGCAUGUAGGCUGGUUGUCCAGGCAAAUCCGGAUAAUCAAGGCUGAGGUGUGAUGACGAGGCACUACGGUGCUGAAGUAACAAAUGCCCUGCUUCCAGGAAAAGCCUCUAAGCAUCAGGUAACAUCAAAUCGUACCCCAAACCGACACAGGUGGUCAGGUAGAGAAUACCAAGGCGCUUGAGAGAACUCGGGUGAAGGAACUAGGCAAAAUGGUGCCGUAACUUCGGGAGAAGGCACGCUGGUGUGUAGGUGAAGUCCCUGCGGAUGGAGCUGAGACCAGUCGAAGAUACCAGCUGGCUGCAACUGUUUAUUAAAAACACAGCACUGUGCAAACACGAAAGUGGACGUAUACGGUGUGACGCCUGCCCGGUGCCGGAAGGUUAAUUGAUGGGGUUAUCCGUAAGGAGAAGCUCUUGAUCGAAGCCCCGGUAAACGGCGGCCGUAACUAUAACGGUCCUAAGGUAGCGAAAUUCCUUGUCGGGUAAGUUCCGACCUGCACGAAUGGCGUAAUGAUGGCCAGGCUGUCUCCACCCGAGACUCAGUGAAAUUGAACUCGCUGUGAAGAUGCAGUGUACCCGCGGCAAGACGGAAAGACCCCGUGAACCUUUACUAUAGCUUGACACUGAACAUUGAGCCUUGAUGUGUAGGAUAGGUGGGAGGCUUUGAAGCGUGGACGCCAGUCUGCGUGGAGCCAACCUUGAAAUACCACCCUUUAAUGUUUGAUGUUCUAACGUUGGCCCCUUACCGGGGUUGCGGACAGUGUCUGGUGGGUAGUUUGACUGGGGCGGUCUCCUCCCAAAGCGUAACGGAGGAGCACGAAGGUUAGCUAAUCCUGGUCGGACAUCAGGAGGUUAGUGCAAUGGCAUAAGCUAGCUUGACUGCGAGCGUGACGGCGCGAGCAGGUGCGAAAGCAGGUCAUAGUGAUCCGGUGGUUCUGAAUGGAAGGGCCAUCGCUCAACGGAUAAAAGGUACUCCGGGGAUAACAGGCUGAUACCGCCCAAGAGUUCAUAUCGACGGCGGUGUUUGGCACCUCGAUGUCGGCUCAUCACAUCCUGGGGCUGAAGUAGGUCCCAAGGGUAUGGCUGUUCGCCAUUUAAAGUGGUACGCGAGCUGGGUUUAGAACGUCGUGAGACAGUUCGGUCCCUAUCUGCCGUGGGCGCUGGAGAAUUGAGGGGGGCUGCUCCUAGUACGAGAGGACCGGAGUGGACGCAUCACUGGUGUUCGGGUUGUCAUGCCAAUGGCACUGCCCGGUAGCUAAAUGCGGAAGAGAUAAGUGCUGAAAGCAUCUAAGCACGAAACUUGCCCCGAGAUGAGUUCUCCCUGAGACUUUAAGUCUCCUGAAGGAACGUUAAAGACGAUGACGUUGAUAGGCCGGGUGUGUAAGCGCAGCGAUGCGUUGAGCUAACCGGUACUAAUGAACCGUGAUGCUUAACCUUACAACGCCGAAG
rnacentral:rRNA from 1 species